UACAGAGGGGGCAAGCGUUGUUCGGAAUUACUGGGCGUAAAGGGCGCGUAGGCGGCCCGCUAAGUCGAACGUGAAAUCCCCGAGCUCAACUCGGGAACUGCGUCCGAUACUGGCGGGCUUGAAUCCGGGAGAGGGAUGCGGAAUUCCAGGUGUAGCGGUGAAAUGCGUAGAUAUCUGGAGGAACACCGGUGGCGAAGGCGGCAUCCUGGACCGAGAUUGACGCUGAUGCGCGAAAGCCAGGGGAGCAAACGGG
rnacentral:rRNA from 1 species